rnacentral:tRNA from 1 species
UAGGUAGAUGCUCGCUGGUUUGGGCGCUUAGCUGUUAACUAAGAAAUUAAAGGAUCGAGGCCUUUCUAUCUAG